CUUUUCAAGAAGACAAGACUCAUAGAUCGGCAAUGAUUCACAAUCAUUGAUAUUGAGGAUACUCUCUAGUGCUAACCUGUUUAUCCUAUUUUUGUUAAUAUGACUGAGCCUGCAAUACCAAAAGUAGGCAUCCGUGACAUCAUCUAACUUGGGAUGUUUGUUUGGAGUAUACAUUACACUCAUAGGUUGUGAUAUUACAUAGAUGUCAUUUCUUAAUUAUCCUCGUAUUAUUGUAACAUCAUUCAUAAUGAUAUCACAAUAAUUAUUCUUUAUUGAUAAACUAUAACCAACUUUGACCAAA
rnacentral:lncRNA from 1 species